ACCGUACCCAGACUGAAUGGGAAGAUGGCUUCACAUUUAGGAUGUUCCUGUUCCAGUUUGUCAACUACUAUGCCUCCAUCUUCUAUAUUGCAUUCUUCAAGGGCAAAAAACUGAUGGUGUGGUUUAGUCUCGGUCGGUAAGGAAGGACCCCAACGAGGAGAAAGUGUAUUUGAGGUGGGAACAGGACUUUCAUCUGGCCAACAUACCCAACCUUGGACUAUAUGAUGAGGAUCUUGAAAUGGCAUAUGGUUCGGGAUUCUGAGAGGCAUAUCAGCCAUAGCAGUAAUAUCUAACAACUUGAUUGUAUUUGCAGCCUGGUUGGUGAUGUACCUCGUCCGAGACGUGUCAGGAUAUGUGAAGCUUCAGAUGCUGAGGGGAAAUUUCUACGCCAAGGAAGCACUUUAUACAGUGGAGACAGUAACGAAAGCAAGACAUGGCGAUGAAAAUGUUACCAACGCCACUAGGAUGCAAUUCUGAUGACAACUACAAGGUUUAUCUCCUAGACAAAUGAUAACUUGAAAAAAGUUUGAUACAAAAAGAGAGGUGUUUGUCCCUGAUUACUCACAUCAGAGGCAACUGUUAAAUUGAGAUUUUUAGAAUAAUCUGUGGUUAUCAUAAAUACAAAUUUUUGAUUUGUUUUGCCUGAAUUUCAACCUUACAGCAAAUUAUACAUUUAAGUGUGUUUUUCUACACAGCCUUAAAGGGAUAUUUCUCUUCUUGAAUCACGUUUACGACAGACCAAGUAGCUUUCUUUUUUUCACUUCAGUGUAGCUAUAAACCCAUUAUUACCCAGUACUUUCAGGUUGUAGAUAUAAUAUUAAGUAGUAAAACCAAAAUUUUGUUAUCAAA